UCCACUUAUGGAACCAGGACCCCUGGCAGGUCCAUGUAGCCUCAAACCUCAGCACUGCGGCGAGCUCUGUUCCUCUCCUAAGGGUCUGUGUGUGUGUGUGUGUGUGUGUGUGUGUGUGUGUGUGUGUGUGCGCGUGGUGUGUGUGGGUGUGUGCGUGUGUGUGUGUGUGUGUGUGUGUGUCUGUGUGUGUGCAUGGUGUGUGCCUGUGUGUUAGUGUGUAUAUGUUUGUGUGUGCGUCUGUGUCUGUGUGUGUGUGUGCGAGAGUGAGAGCGAGAUUACAUAAUCAGGCCAAAAUCUAAAUUUAAUCUUGCAAUCAGUAAACUUAUUAGACAUUAUAAUUCUUCCUACUCAGUUAAUCUGUGUAGUCUGAGUGCGCAGGUGUAUUUGUAGUCUGAGUUUGCAGGUGUAUUUGUAGUCUGAGCGUGCAGGUGUAUUUGUAGUCUGAGUGCGCAGGUGUAUUUGUAGUCUCAGUGUGCAGGUGUACUUGUAGUCUGAGUGUGCAGGUGUAUUUGUAGUCUGAGUGUGCAGGUGUAUUUGUGAUCUGAGUGUGCAGGUGUAUUCAUAACCUCUGGUGGACUUGAUAGCAGACAUUCCUACUUGUGAU
ensembl:lncRNA